AGUUUCAAACUUGUGACCUCUUGUUAGAGGUAUUAUAAAGUUGACCACUGUGGCAUCCAUUGAAUAUUGCCAAU
rnacentral:tRNA from 1 species